AGGAUACUCCCUCCAUUCGAAAAUACUUAUAUCAAAAUGGAUAAAAGAAGAUGUAUCUAGACAUAUUUUAGUUUUAGAUAUAUCUUUUCUAUUCAUUUUAAUGACAAAUAUUUUCAAACGGAGGAAGUAUUAG
rfam:Triticum aestivum genome assembly, contig: Triticum_aestivum_CS42_TGACv1_scaffold_130207_2BL